GAUGAUACCUUGAUGCACCAUACAUCCAUGGAAGCUUCUUGCAAUUGCAAAUUCACUAUUACUUAGCUUCUUCUACGUGUGAACACCUAAAUCAAACACCAUCAUCAAGCUCUCUCUACCAUAUGAUGCACCACCCAAAUCAUCCAAUCAAAUUUGAAGCUUAAUCUGAUUUUCAUCCAAAUUCAUCUAUAAAUAGAGCAAGGAUUCAACCAAAUCAAUUCACUAAUCAAUUGCAAACUCACCUCCAAAAAUUCAAUCACUUCAAUCCAAGAAACACCCAAUUAAAAUCCCAAAUAAAUACUCCCUGCUUCUCGUUGCCUCGGCCAGCCACCACCGCUGACCACCGCCGAAUCAACCACCUAACCACCGUCGGAAAAACCUGCUUCCAGCCGCACUCCGACGCCCUCACUCCUCUUCUCUUCUACCCGUAGCUAUCUCUCUCUUUCCUGCUCCUUUCUCUUCCCCCUCUCGUGUCUCCUUCCUCCCCUCCUUGCCUGCUCCUUCCUCUCCUCCGCCUUGCUGCACCGACGCCAGCAGCUCCACCACCCCACCACGCCACCCUGCAACCCUCUCUCCUCCUCCCUCCUCCUUCUCUUUCCGUCGCUCGCUCCUCCCUCUGCCUCCCCUCUCUCGUAACUCUCUCCUGUGCCCUCCCUUCUCGCUGCAGUCCACCGCAAACCACCACCGCCAAAACCCGACGCCACGACCACCCUUGCAGCACCGCAACCACCUUCUGUGCUGCCGCUGUCCCAGCCCAACCGACGAACCAAACUCACGCAACCCCCCUCAUUUUCUUCCUCUCCUCUGCUUCUCCUUUCUCUGUAAACAAGGACAACUUUGAUUUAUUUUGAAACCAACUAAUGAAUCAGUAAACUCAAAAGUCAUGUGACCCAUUUGACCCAAUUAAGAAUUCGUUUCUCGGAAUUCAAGGCGAACGUUUCAAUAAAGUUAAGGAGUAAGAAUUUCGUAUUGCGGUAUAAGGUACCGAAGAGGACAACGGGAUGGAUUAGUGUGAGGACGUAUCACUUAAAGCAAGGUUACUCAGUUUAAUAAGUGAGCUUCACUAGUUAAUUAUGUACUAAAACUCUAGCUUUAAAUUCUAAGAAUUAUUAUGGUUUGUAUUAUGACAAUUUAGUUAAUAUCACGAGUCUUUUGUUUCUUUAAUCUUUGUUUAGAUUAAUAUUGA